rnacentral:misc_RNA from 1 species
GCAAGAAUCGAUGAAGCAACAAACAAGAAAGAUAAACAAGAAUAGAAUUAAAAACACUACGAAAAUCCUCGAAAUAAAUCCUUGUGUGAAGAUGACCAUCACUAAGCUUUAACCUAAAGAUCUGAGCUUUAUUUUCAUCAAACUCAAAUCGUUCCUUAGAUUUCUUUCUGGGUUUGAGGUCAGAAUCAUUAGUACCUGGCCUUCGAAUGGCUGCCCGAACCCCAUUAGAAGAUGCAUUGUUUGGAGCAACAUCAUCAGGGUGAACAUAAGUGAAAAGGCCAGAGAGCAAAAGUGCAGGGAUCUUGAUGAAGUGAAGAAGGAAAGUGAGGGAGAGAGCAAGAGCAGCUUGGAGAAAGAGAUUGCCAGACAAAAUUA